AUCGUUUAUAACUCGCACAUGCAC
rnacentral:siRNA from 1 species